rnacentral:rRNA from 1 species
UACGGAGGGUGCGAGCGUUGUCCGGAAUCACUGGGCGUAAAGGGCGCGUAGGCGGUCUGCUAAGCGUGCGGUGAAAGCCUGGGGCUCAACCCCAGGUCUGCCGUGCGAACUGGUGGACUAGAGCACUGUAGAGGCAGGUGGAAUUUCGGGUGUAGCGGUGGAAUGCGUAGAUAUCAGGAGGAACACCAGUGGCGAAGGCGACUUCCUGGCCUGUUCUUGACGCUGAGGCGCGAAAGCUAGGGUAGCAAACGGG